GUGGGAGAAACCUCCCUAAGGUCCGUUGUCUAGCUGUAAUUUGAUUGACAGACAACGCGGGUAAAGAAAGACAGCUGUUUAUUUGCUCGAGCAAAGACCAUAAAGCCAGCAAAAGGCAAAAUGGCCCCCCCUCAAGGGUGAGGCGAUCUUUUAUACUUCUUACAACAAAGCAAGACUAUAUGGUUAACAAAAAGCAAUACUUGGGGCGGUGCUCUACAAAUCUUUGUAACAGCAUAUUUCUAUUAAGCUGAACUAGCACUUUUUAAAAGCUAAAAGUUAAGUAACAGUAACAUUAUGUUAGCAAAACCUUACACAGUAGAAGAUACUUCUCAAGGACACAACCAGUAAGCUCAAACAAUGGUUUCUCUGUCUUAUCUUACUUCUAGCUGUAGCUGAUUUUUUUUUAGCACACAGACACAGAUUCACUUUUUAACUCAGAAAAUGCUUGUUGCAGUUAAAAUGAUUACUUGACACAAGCAAAGGCCUAGCUAUCAUUCUGCCUUGUGGUCAGCUGCAUUAUUAGGCCACAGGUCAUGCCUUGUAUUCAGCUGUAAAGCUAAUACUUCUUAAAAAAUCCAAAUUAUUGUAAACCUAACAGUAUGCUUUCAGAAAACUAUUCUAUUUCAGGGCAAUGACAAACCUGCGGACUACAGUGGUCACCCUAGUCUCCUCCCUCCUGUCUACCCACCUUCACCCCUGUAACAGGGAACCCUAGCCCUGUUAGCAGGAAGCAAGGCGGCUCUUUUAAAUCCAGAACUUUCCAGGCGUAGUUGUCCGGUUGAGCAGGGGUUAAGGAUUGAGCCCUGCUGGCUGGUCAGGUGACCAGAAGGGAAAGGCCAGAACCAUAUAAACCACAGGCGGAGAAGGCCAGGGGAGGUGGCAGAGAGGAGGACUUCUGAUGACUAUGGAGAAGCUGUGGCAGCUUCCCUGGGAAGAAAGCAACAAGCUGGAAGACAGAAGUCCAAUAGCAUGGACCCCUUGUGGAGGCACCGCUCCUGCAGCAGAGCAGUUGGGACAGUAACCACCAGCAAACUCUCUGUAGGUUGGAAUCUACUGAAUGUUCAGCAAGUAUGACUUACUUGAAUAGUGAACACUUUCUCCCUCACUCUAUAAUAUCAUGUAUUAUACACUGAAACCAUCUAUGACCAAAUUUGAUGACGACAGAUCCAAGCUACCAAGUAAUUAUUUUCCAGCUAAAUGAUAUUGACUAUAUCUAUUCACAGACUAUGCAUCUGAUGUAUAGCGCAAUUUUAAUUCUCAUUUCAAUAUACUACAAAAUGAGCUGUAACUUAAAUAGAUUAAAAUACAAUUUAAAUUAGGGUUACCAUAUGCCUGAGUUUUCCUGGACAUGUCCUCUUUUUGGGUUCUCCCAUCUCUGUCAGGGAGUUUUGGGUUUUUUUUAAAUAUGAAUAAAUGUCCGGGAUUCUGCUCUG